UUCUCUUCUUUUUUUUUCCCUCCAGGGAUUCUUCGUGGCACUUCUGUUCUGCUUUCUGAACGGUGAGGUCCAGGCUGAAAUAAAGAAGAAGUGGCAGAGAUUCCGACUGACGAGAUUCAAUCACUUACCAAAGGGUAGAAGCAAUAGCCAUAACCUGACGUACGCCACGUACCUGUCGCGACCGAGAGAGUCGAACGCUUCUGUUACCCAGUUUCAAGAGGCCCGCGAUCCCGGCUGUGGAAAUGGCAGUGUUACAAGCAAACACGACAACGGCGGGGGCGAACCGGGACCGCCCAUUUCCCUCCAUGUUCUCAAACGUAAUCAGCGUUUAAUCGAAAACGGAAGUAUGGCCAUAGCAGAAGCAGAAGAGGAGGAGCCAAUGAUUGGGCGUGGUUCCUAUCUCUCCGAGGAAAAGGCAACAGUCAAUAAUAGUGGAUCCAACGGGUACACUUGAACAGUUUUUACGCUUACCUCUCCUAGACAAACGUCUACCUUGCUACGUCAGUGACUGCCCUGGUACAAUUCAUAUACACAGGCUAAUGUCUCUCUUAACAAUACAGAAAGAUAUAGAAAGUGAUAAACUGGCUCAAUGGCUGUGAUUAAGCGAAACUUCGUACACGAUUUGCUUGUUAGAAGAGUCGGAUUCGUAGCGAUCGGAAAAUGUCAGCGAGUGUACGUCCUUUAUCUACAUUGUGGAGUCCAUAUAUUAAAACCAGUCCUCCACCCACCCCCACCCCUUUUUUUCUUCCCUCAAGAAAAAAACAACUUUAAAAACCGAUCCAAUCCUAAGGCAGGCAGUUCAAACACAGUGAACCAACAUGUCGCUUGACGCCAGCAGCGUCAAAACCAAUAAGUAGCACAGUGCCUCAAACAUAGGAGUCAUUCUGGUACUUUUCUUCCAAAGAAUUUCUUUAUUAUCUAACAUUUUUAUAAAGAUCCUCUGCUGGCUUUGCUGCAUCGGAUACCCAAUCCAAUUGUGGCGUAAAUAGCUGCAAAAGUGAGCAAUAUGUGUGGUUUGCGCGUCUGGUCCAAGUGGAAUUCGAUGUUUUUCAUCACUGGCUUUCCAGAGUUCGACCUGAAGUCAAGUCUCCUACAAGAGAUUGAUUAGGGACGCACAGACCUGCUUCGUCAGUUGUCUUAGGUUAUAUGUGGCAAAUUGUACCUAUCUAAUUAUUUACACGUCUUUAUUUGUUUGUUCUUAUUGGUAUCUUCAUAAAAGUAUUCACUUGUUUUAUUUUCUUGUGAUAUUCAAGGUAGUUCAAAUAUUUAAACAUAUCCAAUUUGCUUUUAGGCAAAUUUCUGU